rnacentral:rRNA from 1 species
CCUACGGGAGGCAGCAGUGAGGAAUAUUGGUCAAUGGGCGGGAGCCUGAACCAGCCAAGCCGCGGGAGGGAAGAAGGUACAGCGGAUCGUAAACCUCUUUUGUAAGGGAACAAAGGCGGGGACGAGUGCCCGGAUGAGGGUACCUGAAGAAAAAGCAUCGGCUAACUCCGUGCCAGCAGCCUCGGUAAUACGGAGGAUGCGAGCUUUAUCCGGAUGUAUGGGGGUUAAAGGGUGCGCAGGCGGCCUGUUAAGUCAGCGGUAAAAGCCCGGGGCUCACCCCCGGCGAGCCGUUGAAACUGGCGGGCUGUAUUUGGCGCGCAGUACGCGGACUGCGCGUUGUAGCGGUGAACUGCUUAGAUAUCGCGCAGAACCCCGAUUGCGAAGGCAGCUUACCGGCUCCACACUGCCGCUGAUGCACG